GGACUACUGGGGUUUCUAAUCCUGUUUGCUCCCCUUGCUCUCGCGCCUCAGCGUCAGGUAAUAGCUAGAAAACCGCUUUCGCCACAGAUGUUCUUCCACAUAUCUACGCAUUUCACCGCUACACGUGGAAUUCCAUUUUCUCCGCCAUCCCUCUAGAUUCACAGUUUCAAAUGCAGCUCCGAAGUUGAGCUCCGGAAUUUCACAUCUGACUUACAUAUCCGCCUACGCGCCCUUUACGCCCAAUAAUUCCGAUUAAUGCUUGCACCCUCCGUAUUACCGCGGCUGCUGGCAC
rnacentral:rRNA from 1 species